CCUACGGGAGGCAGCAGUGGGGAAUAUUGCACAAUGGGGGAAACCCUGAUGCAGCGACGCCGCGUGAGUGAAGAAGUAUUUCGGUAUGUAAAGCUCUAUCAGCAGGGAAGAAAAUGACGGUACCUGAUUAAGAAGCCCCGGCUAACUCCGUGCCAGCAGCCGCGGUAAUACGGAGGGUGCAAGCGUUACUCGGAAUCACUGGGCGUAAAGAGCGCGUAGGCGGGAUAGCAAGUCAGAUGUGAAAUACCCAGGGCUUAACUCGGGUGCUGCUUCUAAAACUGUAAGACUUGAGUGCAGUAGAGGUGAGUGGAAUUCCUAGUGUAGCGGUGGAAUGCGUAGAUAUUAGGAGGAACACCAGAGGCGAAGGCGGCUAACUGGACUGCAACUGACGCUGAGGCACGAAAGUGUGGGGAGCAAACAGGAUUAGAUACCCCAGUAGUC
rnacentral:rRNA from 1 species